CCUACGGGAGGCAGCAGUGAGGAAUAUUGGUCAAUGGGCGCGAGCCUGAACCAGCCAAGUAGCGUGAAGGAUGACUGCCCUACGGGUUGUAAACUUCUUUUAUAAAGGAAUAAAGUUAGGCUAGUGUGCCUUUUUGUAUGUACUUUAUGAAUAAGGAUCGGCUAACUUCGCGCUAGCAGCCGCGGUAAUACGGAGGAUCCGAGCGUUAUCCGGAUUUAUUGGGUUUAAAGGGAGCGUAGAUGGGUUGUUAAGUCAGUUGUGAAAGUUUGCGGCUCAACCGUAAGAUUGCAAUUGAUACUGGCAGUCUUGAGUACAGUUGAGGUAGGCGGAAUUCGUGGUGUAGCGGUGAAAUGCUUAGAUAUCACGAAGAACUCCGAAUGCGAAGGCAGCUUACUAAACUGCCACUGACAUUGAUGCACGAAAGUGUGGGUAGCAAACAGGAUUAGAUACCCGAGUAGUC
rnacentral:rRNA from 1 species